GAUGAACGCUAGCGGCAGGCUUAAUACAUGCAAGUCGUGGGGCAGCAUGACUGUAGCAAUACAGUUGAUGGCGACCGGCAAACGGGUGCGGAACACGUACACAACCUUCCUUUAAGUGGGGGAUAGCCCAGGGAAACUUGGAUUAAUACCCCGUAAUAUAUAGAAGCGGCAUCGCUUUUAUAUUAUAGCAGCAAUGCGCUUGGAGAUGGGUGUGCGGCUGAUUAGAUAGUUGGCGGGGUAACGGCCCACCAAGUCGACGAUCAGUAACUGGUGUGAGAGCACGACCAGUCACACGGGCACUGAGACACGGGCCCGACUCCUACGGGAGGCAGCAGUAAGGAAUAUUGGUCAAUGGACGCAAGUCUGAACCAGCCAUGCCGCGUGGAGGAUGAAGGUCCUCUGGAUUGUAAACUUCUUUUAUUUGGGAAGAAAUCUAUCUUUUCUUGGAUAGUUGACGGUACCAGAUGAAUAAGCACCGGCUAACUCCGUGCCAGCCGCCGCCGUAA
rnacentral:rRNA from 1 species